UACGGAGGGGGCUAGCGUUGUUCGGAAUUACUGGGCGUAAAGCGCACGUAGGCGGCUUUGUAAGUUAGAGGUGAAAGCCUGGAGCUCAACUCCAGAAUUGCCUUUAAGACUGCAUCGCUUGAACGUCGGAGAGGUGAGUGGAAUUCCGAGUGUAGAGGUGAAAUUCGUAGAUAUUCGGAAGAACACCAGUGGCGAAGGCGGCUCACUGGACGACUGUUGUCGCUGAGGUGCGAAAGCGUGGGGAGCAAACAGGAUUAGAAACCCCUGGUA
rnacentral:rRNA from 1 species